rnacentral:rRNA from 1 species
UACGUAGGGGGCAAGCGUUAUCCGGAUUUACUGGGUGUAAAGGGAGCGCAGACGGAACUGCAAGUCUGAUGUGAAAGCCCACGGCUUAACCGUGGAGGGUCAUUGGAAACUGGUCGACUUGAGUGCAGAAGAGGGAAGUGGAAUUCCAUGUGUAGCGGUGAAAUGCGUAGAGAUAUGGAGGAACACCAGUGGCGAAGGCGGCUUCCUGGUCUGUAACUGACACUGAGGCGCGAAAGCGUGGGGAGCAAACAGGAUUAGAUACCCCCGUAGUCCCU